UGCAGUUGAGCGUGAAGUUAUAUUGAUUCUUCGGAUGAUUUAUAAAUGGAAAGCAGCGGACGGGUGAGUAACGCGUGGAUAACCUGCCCUAUACUCCAGGAUAACAUACCGAAAGGUAUGCUAAUACUGGAUAAUAUACAUUAGUCGCAUGGCUUUUGUAUCAAAGAUUACGGUAUAGGAUGGAUCCGCGUUCCAUUAGCUAGUUGGUGGGGUAAAGGCCUACCAAGGCGACGAUGGAUAGCCGACCUGAGAGGGUGAUCGGCCACACUGGAACUGAGACACGGUCCAGACUCCUACGGGAGGCAGCAGUGGGGAAUAUUGCACAAUGGGCGAAAGCCUGAUGCAGCAACGCCGCGUGAGCGAUGAAGGCCUUCGGGUCGUAAAGCUCUGUCCUAAAGGAAGAAUUUUGACGGUACUUUAGGAGGAAGCCCCGGCUAAUUACGUGCCAGCAGCCGCGGUAAUACGUAAGGGGCUAGCGUUAUCCGGAAUUACUGGGCGUAANGGGUACGUAGGCGGUUUAUUAAGUCAGGGGUGAAAGGCUACGCCUCA
rnacentral:rRNA from 1 species